GGCAGUUUAGUUUAAUGGUAAACCAUUUGAUGCGUAAUCACAAGGAUGUGAGUUCGAGUCUCAUGGCUGGCC
rnacentral:tRNA from 1 species